rnacentral:sRNA from 1 species
AUUCUGCCCAUGCGGGGAAGGAUGAGAAACUUCGACCAAGGUUCGCCCCGAGCGCCAGCGAGAGA